GACGAACCGUGCAAACGUUGUUCGGAAUCACUGGGCUUAAAGGGCGCGUAGGCGGGCUGUCAAGUCAGAGGUGAAAUCCUGCGGCUCAACCGCAGAAGUGCCUUUGAUACUGAUGGUCUCGAGGGAGGUAGGGGCACGUGGAAUUUCCGGUGGAGCGGUGAAAUGCGUAGAUAUCGGAAGGAACGCCGGUGGCGAAAGCGACGUGCUGGAUCUCUACUGACGCUGAGGCGCGAAAGCCAGGGGAGCAAACGGG
rnacentral:rRNA from 1 species